rnacentral:rRNA from 1 species
CCUACGGGAGGCAGCAGUAGGGAAUAUUGGACAAUGGGGGCAACCCUGAUCCAGCCAUGCCGCGUGUGUGAAGAAGGCUUUCGGGUUGUAAAGCACUUUCAGUGGGGAGGAAAUGGCAGCGGAUAAUACCCGCGGUCUAUGACGUUACCCACAGAAGAAGGACCGGCUAACUCCGUGCCAGCAGCCGCGGUAAU